GAAGCCGCGAGGUAGAGCAAAUCUCAAAAAGACAUCUCAGUUCAGAUUGCAGGCUGCAACUCGCCUGCAUGAAGUCGGAAUUGCUAGUAAUCGUAGGUCAGCAUACUACGGUGAAUACGUUCCCGGGCCUUGUACACACCGCCCGUCAAACCAUGAGAGUUGGCAACACCCGAAGUCGGUAGUCUAACCGCAAGGAGGACGCCGCCGAAGGUGGGGUUGAUGAUUAGGGUUAAGUCGUAACAAGGUAUC
rnacentral:rRNA from 1 species